UGGGGAAUAUUGCGCAAUGGCCUAACGGCUGACGCAGCGACGCCGCGUGUGGGAGGACGCCCUUCGGGGUGUAAACCACUGUUGCCCGGGACGAACACCCUGAUUCUUCAGGGCUGACGGUACCGGGUGCGGAAGCACCGGCUAACUCCGUGCCAGCAGCCGCGGUAAUACGGAGGGUGCGAGCGUUGUCCGGAAUCACUGGGCGUAAAGGGCGCGUAGGUGGCCUCUUAAGUGUGUGGUGAAAGCCCGGGGCUCAACCCCGGGUCGGCCAUGCAAACUGGGGGGCUUGAGCAUUGUAGAGGCAGGCGGAAUUCCGGGUGUAGCGGUGGAAUGCGUAGAGAUCCGGAAGAACACCGGUGGCGAAGGCGGCCUGCUGGGCAGUUGCUGACACUGAGGCGCGACAGCGUGGGGAGCAAAC
rnacentral:rRNA from 1 species